rnacentral:tRNA from 1 species
GGUGGGAUGGCCGAGUGGUUGAAGGCGGCGGUCUUGAAAACCGUUAGGGGCGCAAGUCUCUCGUGGGUUCGAAUCCUACUCCCACCGCCA